rnacentral:lncRNA from 1 species
UCCAAAUGAUAUUUCCCGUGAAAUGCCCAGGAUGAUAUUCCUGCAAAACUCAGAGGAGAAAAUGUAGAGUCCCUCUUAGGUAAGGUUAUAAAAUUAAGAUAAUACAGAAUAAAGUCAUGCAGCCAGUGGUGUAUCCGGUUGUGAUCGAAAAUGCGAUGUCGGCAUUCCAUGAUGGUUCCGGAGAUUGUGUUGUCCCUUCUACGUCCAAAGAAAAAAUUUUAGUUCGAGGGAGGGAAUUGAUUCGUGUUGACUUGAGGCUUCGUUUAUUCUUCUUUGUUUGUCCGAGUCAUACGAGCAUGACACUUCUCGAAGGCUAACUAACAACUUGCCCCUAUAACAAAAUGUGUUGACUUGUAUCGAAUCACUGAAUUUGGAAAGUGGGAGUGAACAUUAUGACUCCAUUGCCAGAUAUUUGAAGAAAGGACUUGCAUCCCAUAUAUUGGGAUUUAAGUCAAGUGAGGGUCAGGGUAAAGUUGGCAUGGUGUUUUGAUGUUUGGAUUUUUGGUGAAAUUUGGUUGACGCUCUUGGAGGUUUUUGGCUUGAGAGUAUCAUCGCACCAUUCCAAAAAAUUGCCCUAGUUCCGUACUGAGGAAAUUGUUUUGAAACAGUGGGGAGACGGAACCUUUAUGUAGGGUUGCCUGUGUUUCUUGCCAAAGCAAGAAUCAGGUCAAAAUGUAGUUCGGGCCAACUAGCAAAAUUAUAUGGAAUCUGUAUGGUUGUCAUGAGUAAGUGAUUGUUUCUUGAGAAGAAGUGUGAUUAUGAAUGAAAAUUCCUGGGUGGGUGGGUGGAGACUGGUAGAUCUUGAAUAAGAGAUAGAUGGUAGCAUAGUGCAUGGAUCUGUCUCAAAUGACGGAAGUCAUUGUAAGUGUAAGGUAUGAUUGAGAAGAAUAUGUCAAAUCAGUGAAAUAUGCACCAAGUUGGAUUGACAUAUCUUUGAAAAGAUGGUAGAGUCCAAAUGAUAGUAUGAUCAUGGGGAUGGUCAUGAAGUCUGCAUGGGCAUAUGUAUUUGAAAGGUUAGGGUUCAACACAAGUCAACUAGAGUUUAGUCAGACAAAGAGAAUCUAGUUGUAUAUAAUAAGUAGAAGACAUCUGUAGUAGAUGAAGGAUGCAUAAUAGAUAAAGAAUGUACAUCAGACAAAGAAUAUAUAGCAAGCAAAGGAUAUGUAACAAUUAAUUUAGCUAAAGCAAGUUGCAAGAUCAUAUGUACAGUGACCUAGGAAUUCUAAGAGUAGAUUUACCUAGAUUCAAGGAUAAGUUAAGGACAACUACGAGAUGGUACGUAGUUAACCUCGUAUGCCAAUCUCUGAAGCUAGAGAGUUUUGAAAGAAGGUUCGGAGGGGUGAAAAGACAACCCUCGCGUGACUUGUGUGUGAUUGUGCACGACCAAGAGUCGAUAGAAAAGUGAUGACAACUUGAUAAGGCAGCACCAAAAGCAUGUGUGAAAGAAUACACAACACAUUCAUAUAUAACAGAAUAUACAACAUAGACAUGUGGGAAGCAUAUACAACAUGAGCAUGACAGAGAAUACGCCGCUUGAAGCGGAUAACAAAGAAUAUACUGCUUGAAAUGCACAACAAGAAUAUACUGCUUGAAACGCAUGAUAAAGAAUAUACUACUUGAAGCAUGCGACGAAAAAUAUACCACUUGAAGCAAAGAAUAUACAACAUAAAGCAAGGAAUAUACAGCUUGAAGCAAAGAGUAUACAGUUUGAAGCAAAGAGUAUACAACUUGAAGCAGAGAAUAUAUGACUUGAAGCAUGCGACAGAAAGAAUAAAAGUUGGAGUAUUGGAGAAUUUGUAAUCCCUCAAGUAAUUGAUCAAGUCCGCUGUGGUUAGAACCUGAAGUAUCCCCAGCAGAAUCGUCAUGUUGUUGCACCCUAUUUUGCACAAAACAACAAACUACAGCUUAUAGUGCUCUACAAGGUUAAUUAAGGUUUAGAGUCACCACCUAGUAUUUAAGGUAUACUAGAACACAUAUACUACACUAAAUAAUGUACACUAAAUUAUGGUCUGUGAAACUGUUGAAAUUUUGAGUAAGGGUUCAAGUUAUCUCGAGAGAAAGGUGUUAGGCAUCGCUCAAGAUCUACAAAAAAGUGGUUCAUGUUGACUCGAUCAAAUAAGGGAGGGAAGGUUUUAAGAAAAUUAGCAAAUACUCACAACUAUUAUAAAGAAUAAAAGAAUGAUUAACGUGUACUAGAAUGACCAGUGAUGAUAUUAAUAUGUAAUGAAUUAUAUGCAGAUGAAGUAUGCAAGUAUUUUUUUGGUGUUUUCGAAAUGAAAUGAUUAAGAUAUAUUGAUUCGUAUGAAAUAUAUGUAAAGUGGACAAGGGAAUCGUAUUCCAAAAGAUAAGCCGAGUAUAAAAUGAGUUCUACAUAAAGAAUAGUAAAAUAUUUGACAAAAUAUAUGUACAACAAAGUGUAGCAUGUGAAAGAAUUAAAAAGAUAUUAAAGAAUGGUAUUUUAGUGUGAAUUGAAUAAUAUAAAAAAGAUCGUACCUAAAGAAUGCAUGUUAACUCAAAGUGUUUGAAUAAAAUUUUGAACUUACAAGAAUAAACUUGAAGAGAAAAGACUCAUAAUUAAAGUUUAAAAGUUUAGAUGGAUAACUACAACAAGAAAAACUUAUACUAAAGGAUUGCAAAAAAAAAGGGGGAUGGAAUAUUUAUUUGCACAUGAAUAGAUAUUUAACAAGUAAUUUGACCAAAGAGUGUUGAAAGAAUUAUCUCAAUGCAUAAUGAGUAAAGUGAAAGGAUUAUUUUGAAGAGUAAAAAAUGAAUAUGGUAUAAGAAAAAUGUGUCAAAACGUUUACGACAUAGAAAACUAUUGUAUCAAUAUGAAAAAAUAUUUGCACUAAAAAAGUGAGUCAUCAUUCAAUAAGUAACUAAAGACCAUCUUUAGAGUCAUGGUCUUGAAACACAAAUUGUAUGAGCCAAACCCAAACGACUAAAGAUCUAAAUUUGUCAAAGAAUAGUACGAUAGUCCGACUAUAAUUUCCUACUUAAGUUGUGUCAAUUAAAAAUAAUUUACAUAUAAAGUGAUUCAAAAAGGCGCUCAUACAAUUGUAAGACAAAGAUAAUUAUUUAUUUUAUUUUUUGAAAGAUGACAUGUUUUUAUUUUCAUUAUAUCUAAUUUAACUAAUUGGAUGUAUAUCAAUCACAAAUCACAUUAUGAACGUAUUCAACAACCUAGCAUGCAUGUACAAAUUUUAUGAACUCGCGUAACGUUACAAUAUUAGGAAUUAAACCAAUUUUUAACUAGAUUCAACUCCCCAAGUGCUUAGCAAAUAGAUAAUAUUAAAGCAAGCAAGCAAACACAUCUAUCUACUACUUUACUAUACUUUACGUUUUGAGUAUAUCAAAGAACGGAAAGUACGAAGCGGGGAGCUUGACGGGAAUUUGUCUUUUAAUCUUCGAGUAUCGUCUUUCGAAAGUAAAUCCGUGUGAUAGUAGCUCGCAAGACAAGAAAAGUGAAAUUAUUAGUAAAAUAUAAAGUAAACAAUAAGCUAAAAAAAAUUUGAACAUGUUUUUUGAAAGAUUGUUUUUGAAAAUGUUUUUGAGAAAUUAUUUUUUAGAAAUAGUUUUAAAAUAAUUUUGGGAAAUUGUUCUUGGAUAAUAGUCUAAACAUGAGAACAAAGAACUACCUUGAUCUCUACGGUAGCUAAUCGUGUCACCUUCCAAAGGACUAUUGAUUCGUCUCGUUCUCAUUUUUUUCCUUUCCGAUAUUUAUCGUAAUCGCCUCAUUAUUUCGGACCCAAUCUAGAGGGAUACGAGCAUUGUGGCCUCAAAAUAUUAUUCUCAUCGGCCUAAGUCCAACAAUGUACUAUUCCAUUUGUUCACUGCCAACAAUGUCCAACCGUGUAAAAUCGUCCAAACUAACUAAAUACAAUACAGAAGAGGAUUAGAGUAUAGCUGGAAAAUGUUGUCAAGAUACACAGAAAACCAGUCAAUAUUUCAAAGUCGGCGUUGCAACAGCAGUGACGAGAAUUUCACCACUUAAUUACAAUAUAGUCAAUUGAUGAAACCUUGAUAAAAAACAAACUUAUCACAAACCCAAAAGCAGACGAGCGGCAACAGUAACAAAGUACAAUCGCCGGAGCAACAAGAAUAAUUACCGGAACGGUGAACAAACAGAGACAAGCUUCAAAUCUCAGUAUAAAUUUUCUUCGUUAUUAAUGGGUUCAUUAACCUGUAGAGAAUGAGAAGACAGUAGCAAGCAAGGGCAAACAUAAGAUAUGAGGGGUCGCCGGAAAACAUGGAGGUCGCCGGAAACGACCAAAUCUGACCAGCGUCAAAACGAACAAGAUGAAAACGCGAGGCCAAUGAUGUUGCUUCAACGGUAUAACACCAGAAAAACGAUCAACAGUACUCAAAAGCUCGCCGGAGUAAAUCUCCGGUCAGAUUUCGGCGUGCUCGUUUUCAGAUCUUCACUAUUUUUCUUCAUUUUUGGGCUUAAAUCGAGCAGCCAUGGCCGGAUCUAAACGACGAAGCAUAGACAUUCAUUAGAACACGAUUUUCGGCCAGAUAAAGUGUAACAUCAGUGACGGAUCUGAGAGGUCAGAGGGGUGGUCGUCAUUGAUGCGCCUACCAUCGGGUAGUCAAGUCCGGCGGCGGCAACUGGUCGGAGAUGGGGAGGGCGACAGAAAUGGAGGGAAAGAGAGAGGAGUCGGCGGCUGUUGCUCUCAAGAAUUGAGAGAGAUGAGAGAGCCCUUAGGGGGCUGGCGGCAGAUCUCUUAGAAAUGAGAGAGAUGAGUUCUCUAGGGUUUUUGAAACCCUUGUAAAAAGUAAAAAUCUGAUGGGGUGUAAUUAAAAGCUAAAAAUAUGUAUAGCUUGUUCAAGCCGGAAAAAUAUCUUAUUUUAAAAAAUAUUUUUUUUAAAAGUACUUUUGAAAAAAUACUUUUGGAUAUAAGUAAUUUGUGUUUGGCUAAUCACUUUGAAAAGCACUAUUGAGCAAUAAUUUGUGUUUGGCCAAAUUUUUCAAAAAGUGUUUUUUAGUAUCAAAUUACGAAUAAAGAUAUGAAUAGAUUUACUUAAUAGUUAAUAUUAUAAGUAAAUAAAUAAUCUCAAAAUUUUUGUUAUUACGG